UUUCUCCAUUGAUACUUUUGAGUGCCGAAGAGGCAAGAUGUUGGCAUAGCUGUGUCCAACGACAUAUUUUCAGCUGUGCCUACAUACUGCCAUUUUGUCACUUGUAAAUGCCUUCAGGAGGAAC
rnacentral:precursor_RNA from 8 species